GAUGAACGCUGGCGGCGUGCCUAAUACAUGCAAGUCGAGCGAACAGAUAAGGAGCUUGCUCCUUUGACGUUAGCGGCGGACGGGUGAGUAACACGUGGAUAACCUACCUAUAAGUCUGGGAUAACUUCGGGAAACCGGAGCUAAUACCGGAUAACAUAUUGAACCGCAUGGUUCAAUAGAGAAAGGCGGCUUUGCUGUCUCUUCUAGAUGGAUCCGCGCCGUAUUAGCUAGUUGGUAAGGUAACGGCUUACCAAGGCAACGAUACGUAGCCGACCUGAGAGGGUGAUCGGCCACACUGGAACUGAGACACGGUCCAGACUCCUACGGGAGGCAGCAGUAGGGAAUCUUCCGCAAUGGGCGAAAGCCUGACGGAGCAACGCCGCGUGAGUGAUGAAGGUCUUCGGAUCGUAAAACUCUGUUAUCAGGGAAGAACAAAUGUGUAAGUAACUGUGGACAUCUUGACGGUACCUGAUCAGAAAGCCACGGCUAACUACGUG
rnacentral:rRNA from 1 species